rnacentral:pre_miRNA from 11 species
CCUGGGAGACCCCUCAAGUCACCUGCUCCUCAGAUCAGAAGGUGAUUGUGGCUUUGCUUUUAUAUGAAACAGCCACAGCACUGCCUGGUCAGAAAGAGCAAGUGUACUAGCCUUUUGCCUCAU